rnacentral:rRNA from 1 species
UACAGAGGUCUCGAGCGUUGUUCGGAUUCAUUGGGCGUAAAGGGCGCGUAGGCGGCGGGGUAAGUCUGGUGUGAAAUCUCGGAGCUCAACUCCGAAAUUGCACUGGAUACUGCUCUGCUAAAGGGCUGGAGAGGAGAUCGGAAUUCACGGUGUAGCAGUGAAAUGCGUAGAUAUCGUGAGGAAGACCAGUGGCGAAGGCGGAUCUCUGGACAGCUCCUGACGCUGAGGCGCGAAGGCUAGGGGAGCAAACGGG